rnacentral:rRNA from 1 species
GUCCACGCCCUAAACGAUGAAUACUCGAUGUUAGCGAUAUACAGUUAGCGUCAAAGCGAAAGCGUUAAGUAUUCCACCUGGGGAGUACGCCCGCAAGGGUGAAACUCAAAGGAAUUGACGGGGCCCGCACAAGCGGAGGAGCAUGUGGUUUAAUUCGAUGAUACGCGAGGAACCUUACCCGGGCUUGAAAGUUACUGAAGUAUCCAGAGAUGGAUGCGUCCGCAAGGACAGGAAACUAGGUGCUGCAUGGCUGUCGU